GAAGCAUAUAACUGAGUGAUGUGACACUUUGGGAUCCUCUUCUAACCAGUGAUACGGGACGGCAAUUAUCUGCUUAUUGACAGUGUGUGACAGUCUCACAGCUGUAUAUGUAAAGCUGAUGCCUGUAAAUAGUGUCUCCUGUAAAAUAGUAGAGGACAGAAGUGCAUUAACCCCUGAAAAUAACCAUGCCGGGAAAGCGAACUACUCAACCCAGUCUGACAUUGCUCUAAACCCCCACAUCACCUACUGUUGUCAAGGGAAGCUUGAGUCAGAUGUACAUGCUUAGUGAUGACCAUUCAAUAAAUUGCCAG